rnacentral:lncRNA from 1 species
GAUCGUGGAGGAAGAACCAAUCACUAGAUCACGAGUAAAGAAGGUUAAAGAAGCCAUGCGAUUACUUGUUCAAGCUAUGGUGGAUGAAAUAUUGAUCAUAAUAAGCGAAAUGACAAGUUUCAUAUUGGGUAUGGGAGAAGAAAAGCGAUGGAUCAACUUAGUUCAAGCAACGGAAGAGGGAUCUGAAACGAAGGCUUAUGCGACCGCAUAGUACAAAAUUACAUGCGGCCGCAUGUACCCAUAUAGAAAACUCAGCUGAAGAUGAGGAAUGACCUAUGCAACUGCAUUUACUAGACC